rnacentral:snRNA from 11 species
CAUGCCUCUCGGCCUUUUGGCUAAGAUCAAGUGUAGUAUCUGUUCUUAUCAGUUUAUCCAUGCCUCACAACCUCUGAGGAUGCUGGCCAUAAAUGUGGGCAAAACAUCAGGAGAGAAUACUUCUGGAACAUGGCCACACAGCCCGAAAGACAACAACCCCAUACACUGUUUACUCACU